rnacentral:lncRNA from 1 species
UUUCAGCUGCUCACAGUUUUCUUAUAUAAAAGUUAACACCCUAUUUUCUUUUGAUUUUUUUGUUGCAUUAACAUUUAGCUUUUGAAAGAUGGUAGGCUGCCAAGACCUGAUAUAUUAGGAAAUAGAUUUGCAGAGCUGGUUUUGAAGUGUGGUUUAUAUAGAAUUAUAUAGGGGCUGCAUUUAGUAGUGUUCAGCCUAUAAGAGUAACACUCUGUAAAAAAAUUUUUGUCGUCUGCAGUUGAAAUUUGUUUAUAUUGUAAACAAUGAAUGCAAAUCAACAUUUUCAGGCUUUGCAAGCCAGAAUUCUGAGUAAAACUGAAAAUUUUGGCCAAAAAGGCUGUUUAAAGUGGACAGGCACUCGGUCCAACGCAAAUUUUCCUGCUUAUGGGCGCCUGAGGGUCAAAUUCCCCCAGGACCCCAGUUCUAAAUACCGCUAUGUGCACCGACUUAUAUAUAUGUGUUCUGUAAACUCUUACGAACUACCGGAUGGACUGCAUGUGUCGCAUUUAUGUAAAUUUUCAUUAUGUUGUAAUGUGACACAUUUAAGCCUUGAACCACAAAACAUAAACAAUGAAAGGCGUAGGUGUGAGGAGCGGUGUUUCGGGCAUAAUUUUAAUGGCCUCUCAUACCCAGACUGUAUAAUUUGAGUUAAACAUAACAGACAGUUCAAGGGGCCUGUACAGCUUGUUUGUGAGGAGAUCAGGGUGAUUUUUGAUACCUUCUGAGUCAGAGUGUGCAUAUUCUUCAGCCAAGGUCUGAGUCCUAGACAAGGGUCUGAGUGGAGUAGUAUUUGUUUCAGAACCAUCAACAUCUC